GUCGCGUGUCUAGUACCGCUGGAAUAAUUUACUUAUAAUUAAUAGAUCGCCGUUUAUUGGUACGAUGGGAUCCUACGCAAAAUUCGUAUCUGAUUACUGUAAAAACUGGGACAAAUCUGGUCGAGAAUUGUUCUUGAAACAUUUGACGCAAUUCACAAAAGAUGAACAUAGGACUCCACUAUUUUCAAAGUCUGGGAAAAUGUCUGGAUUUUCUCAAAGUGUCUAUGAUUUUCUUCUUUGUGGCCUGAAAGGAAACCUUAAAAAAGAUACCGUUUUAUCCUUCUUAAGAGAAAUAACUAAUUUGCAUGCAGAUGUGCCAUCAAUAAUAUUGGAUAUCAUAUCAAUUUUGGAUGCUGAAACCAGCCUAGAUGUACAAAGCGAUGAGCGGGCUUAUUUCUGCUACAUUGUGAGAGAGCUGGAGCCAUUUAUUUCUGAUAAGUUACUAAAAGAAAGAUUAGAGAUAGAUACAUUACAAGAUGCUGGUACCCUAAAGAACAAAAACUUCUACACCAAAUUCAUAAAGAUCAAGACUAAAUUAUACUACAAACAACGUAAAUUUAACUUAUUUCGAGAAGAAAGUGAAGGAUACUCAAAGUUAAUAGUUGAAUUGAACCAAGAAAUAAAUGAAGAUACAGAAUGGAAAAAUUUGCUUGAAAUAAUUCAAUCUCUUAUUGGUUGUUUUAAUUUGGAUCCAAACAGGGUACUUGACAUAAUUCUAGAAUCGUUUGAAGCCCGACCACAAUUAGAUGCUCUUUUUAUACCGCUUAUUAAGAGUUACAUGGCAGAUCCUCAUGUAAUUUCUGAGGUUUUAGGUUUCAAACUGAGUAAUAUGGAAAUUCUUGAUAACUAUACAGAACCUCCACCGUUGAUGACUGUAAUUGCAUUGCUUUUACAACAUCAGGUUAUAUCAUUAGAUGACAUCUAUCCAUGGCUUCGCCCAGAUGAUGUGAUAAUAGCUAAACAAGCUGAUAAAGAAAUAAAAGCAGUUCAAGAAUAUAUAAGAAAAAUUAACAUUGUGUCUACCAAAGGACCACAAACAAAUGCCCCCACUGAAUUUAUAGAAGAUAAAGCUGAUCCGCAGGAAUAUUGGAGCAAUCAAAAGCUAGUGUUAUGUGAAACUUUAUUGAGAGUCAAUGCGUGGCGAGAGUUUGCCUCACUGUUUGCGCGUCUUCCCACUACUACGAUGCCGCCAAGACCAGCAAUAGCCCUUUGUGGGUUGUUGCAUGCUGUUGUAGAACCAUUGUAUAGAAAGCAAUGCCGAGUAGCUUCAAAAAUCCUGGGAAAACCAGUACCUCCACUUAAAUCAAAUUUAGCACCACCUAAUUGUAAAACAUUCGAAGACAUGAAAGAAACAGUUAUACCAGCCCUUAUAUUGCUUGGUCCAGCCCUUCAUCAUGACCCUGUCUUGAUGUACAAAGUCAUUAGAAUACUUAGAACUGCUCGCGGUCAAAAAGAUGAUCCAUUACAUUUUGAGGCACUAACCGUUUUGGAUACCGCAAUAUUACCGGCUCUUACACUGAUGGAAGGGAAUUGUUGUAUGGCUGAAGAGGUGUACACAUUACUUAAGUUAUAUCCAUAUCAGUGCAGAUAUUGUCUCUAUGCGCGUUGGAAAAAUGAGGCUGGCGAACGAAUACCUGCUCUCAUUCGUGUCCGGGGGAACUCAUUGCAGAAAAUAAAACACAUAAUGAAACGAGUAUCCAAAGAGAAUAUCAAGCCCCAAGGUCGUCUCAUCGGGAAACUGUCGCACGCCGCCCCGGCCUUUCUGUUUGAUUACGUGCUCUUGCAGAUACAAACAUACGACAAUCUGAUAGGACCAGUAGUAGAAUCCAUGAAAUAUUUGACGUCUCUAUCUUUAGAUGUUCUGGGAUACUGUUUAGUUGAGGCUUUAGGCUCUCGACGUUCGACGCCACCUGCGUGGCUACAAGCACUAGCCUCGUUCGCCGGGGCAGCCUUCAAGAAACACAACAUUGAGUUAACUGCUCUUUUGCAGUUUGUUGCUAAUCGACUCAAAGCUCAACAGAGUCAAGACUUGAUAGUAUUAAAAGAAAUAGUACAAAAAAUGGCCGGUAUAGAAGCUGCUGAGGAAAUGACACCCGAGCAGUUAGAGGCUAUGGCGGGAGGUGAAUUACUUAAAGGAGAGGCUGGUUACUUUUCACAAGUGCGUAACACGAGACGCUCUUCUGCGCGACUCAAAGAUGCCAUAGUCGGAAACAACUUAGACAUAUCGCUUUGUAUAUUGGCGGCGCAACAGCGACAUUGUUGCGUUUGGAAAGAAUACGAAGAUGACGUUCAAAUAAGUGGCGAACCUCCAGGGUCCCAGCUAAAGGUGGUGGGUAGAUUGGCAGACCAAUGUCAGGAUGCUCUGGUUCAGCUUGGUACAUUCUUAGCAUCGUCACAUGCUCCCGAUGAAUAUGCGGCGAGGCUGCCAUCGUUACAGGAACUGCUGCGUGAUUACCACGUAGAUGCAGACGUCGCAUUCUUUUUGCAUCGUCCAGUUAUAAACCAAAAGAUAUCCGCCAAGUUGGAAUCUUUACGUAAAGCAUCGGACAGCAAAUCGGAUUCAAUAGAGAAGAUUAUAGAAAGAUACAAUGUGGCAUCAAAGGAAGCCUUGGAACCUAUUGUAUCGUCAAUACAACCGAUGCUGCCUGCGAGGGUUUUAGAAGACAUUUCGCCUGAGUUUUACGUUACAUUCUGGUCAUUAUCCAUGUACGAUCUUCGAGUGCCGGUCGAAAGUUACGAGAGGGAAAUAGAACGUUUAAAAACAGCAGCAGCUAACGUCAGCAAGGAUUCGUCUCAAGGAACCAAAGUUAAGAAAGAACAGGAACGUUUCAAUACGCUCAUCGAAAAACUACAGGAGGAGCGGCGCCGACAGGCCGCGCACGUGGCGGCGGUGCGGGCGCGGCUGGCGCGCGAGUGCGAGGACUGGUUCCCGGCGCGGGCGGUCCGCUCCGCCAAGAACGAGACCGUGACGCGGCUCAUGCAGCUGUGCAUAUUCCCGCGCUGCGUGUUCACGGCGGCCGAUGCGCUCUACUGCGCCGAGUUCGUGCAUACCGUGCACUCUCUGAAGACUCCCAAUUUCUCCACUCUUCUGUGUUAUGAUAGGUUGUUUUGUGACAUCACGUAUUCGGUGAUGUCUUGCACGGAGGCGGAGGCGGCGCGGUACGGCACGUUCCUCUGCAAGGUGCUGACGACCGCCAUGCGCUGGCACGCCGACAAGGAUGCCUUCCACCGAGAGUGCGCGCACUACCCCGGCUUCGUCACCAAGUACCGCGUCUCCAAGCAGUUCACUGAAGCUAAUGACCAUGUCGGAUAUGAAAACUACAGGCACGUGUGCCACAAAUGGCAUUAUAAAAUAACCAAAGCAAUGGUUGUUUGCUUGGAUUCAGGCGACUACGUGCAAAUACGUAACGCCCUCAUAGUUCUAAUAAGAGUCUUACCUCAUUUUCCUGUUCUGGCUAAGCUAAGUCAAAUAAUCGAAAAGAAAAUUGAUAAGGUUAAGGAACAAGAGAAAAUACAAAGACAAGAUCUUUAUGUGUUAGCAACGGUCUACAGUGGACAGCUACGGAACAAGUCCUCGAAUAUGAUGAAUGAAGCUGAUUUCCAUCAGAUGAGCGACAAGCACAAAGCGGCGAGCACCGCGGCCGCCAGCGCUGCGCCUCCCAAAGAAGAAGUGGUCGCAGAUCCUGAACCCACCCCCGCCCCUGCGCCCCCACCACAAGAAAGUGAAAAACGGGACUCGCGCAAUAGCGACCGCCGCCGAGACGAAGCGGACCGGGAUAAAGAUUCCAAAAGAGAAUCAAAAACCUCCACAAAGGAAAGGUCCAAAGAAGAAACCCGAAUUAAAGAUAGAUCGCCCAAAGAACGUUUACAGAGGGAAAGCAAUUAUUUAGAAGCAAUCUCACCGCCACACGAACAUCGCAGCACUUCAGAUGAUGUCGAACGAGAUAUAAAGCGACGUAAAGUUGAAAACAGCAGUAACGGCAAGGUGAGUAUUGUGAUAAUAAACCGGCCUUGCAUCGUGCACGUCCCGGACUGAGGAUUGGGCUGGACCUCGACCACAAACCAGACUGAAAUUAUCUAACAACAAUCAAUAACAAUUCAAGACAGUCAAAAUUAAUGGAGAAACAAGUGAUAAAUUUAAGACUUUUAAAGUGCACAGUAUAAUAAUAAAACAACCAAAUUAAAUAUUAGAAAUCGAUUUAAAAACUAAACAAAAUAAAUCUCUUGAAAAACGAAGAAUUUCUAAAUAGCGGAAACAAGCAAUUGUGAUGAAACUGAAUUACAUAAUACUCUGCCUACAAUUAAUAUUUUGGCAGCUUGAAGAAUUCAAAGCGAAAAAUAAAUGAAAUUAUCGUCAAGUUUGCUCGUCAUUUAUCGUCAAAUUGUUAAUAAUGGUGACAACACGCAGUCAGCUAGCUACACAGCACCGAAGCGUUGCUUGGAACGGUUUGAGGCAUCGAAGACAACUCGAGCGGCAGCGUGGCUACCUCGAUGGACCCGUGUGAUUCAAAGAAUUCAAGAGAAACUCACCAGUGUGAAUAAACUAACACCCGGACAAUCGCUAAUGAACAAUUCAAAUACAAAGUGAAGCCGUAAAGUUGUGAGUCGCUAGCAAAGAAUUAGAAGAGCGAUCUCCUGAAAAGGAAAAAAGGAAGACUAAAGUUAGAGGUGAUGAACGCAAAGAGCGUAAGAUGAACCGC